CUCUUGCUGUGGUGUGUGUGGGGGGGCAGUGUGAAAAGGUUUGGCCCACCUGAGUCCCCUGGGCUGGUAGGAGAACUGGGGCCGGGCAGGGGGUGGUGUUGGAACAGGAGGGGUGGUGUGUGAGCCUCUGUGGGCACAGACCCACCGUGGCCCACAGAGGCUCUUUCUCCUCAGACCCGGUGUGCCGUUACCAGAGCCUUCUAGAGGAAGUGUUCUCUGAGCUGAGGGCGGCUCUUUGAUUCUCCAGGCCACAAACCCCCGCAGGCCCGGCCUGGCCAGAGGCGUGCCUGUGCAUCCCGGCAAGUGAGCGCCCAGAGACUCUCGGCCAGAGAGGCUGUGAGGGUGGCUUUGUGAGGAUGGCUUUGUGUGGCUGCACAUUGCCCUUGGCCAAGCCCCGCUGCCAGGAGAGGCAGCUCGGCUGCCAAACCUCCUGAACCCAAGUUACCUGAGCAAGCAGCCCUAUCCCCUCGCCUGCUUCUCACUGCCUCGCCUGCCUUGGGCCUGCCUGACUCAGGGGGUCACAUGCCUUGUUCCCCAUCAGUGGAGACCAGGGACAAGAAGACAGCUCUGUGGGAAGAGCCAGGAGGACCAUUUGGGAAAAUACAGGUUCCAGGUGUGUCUCCAGACCUUGAGAGUUGGUGUCUCCUGGGAAGAGGCCCUGAUGAGAUCUGGGGAGAUUCGGAUCUGAUGAGAUUCAGGAAGCCCUGGCCUCUCCGUACUUGAGGAGAUGGGACACACAGGACAAGUUGCAGGCUGGUGAGCAGGUUCACCUUCUAUUUUGAAGACCCGCUUCUUCCUCAGGUACCUGAUCUUGAAAACGACCUCCCCUUUCAGUUCUGGAGGCCAGAAGCCCAAAAUCAGUCUCGCUGGGCUAAUGUCAAGGUGUCAGUCGGGCUGGUUCCUUCUGGAGGCUCCAGAAAAGAAUCUGUUUUCUUGCCUUUUCUGGCUCAGUUUCUCGGCUUGUGGCUCCUUCCUCCAUCUUCAAAGAGCAUCACUCCAAUCUGCUCCUCCAUCAGGUCACCUUCUGCCUGACUCCUACAUCCCUUUCAGAAGGACCCUUGUGAUUCCAUGAGGUCCACCCAGAUCAUGCAGGAUAAUGUCCCCGUCUCAAGAGGCUUAAGCUAAUCACAGGUGAAAGCCCUAUACGAGGUGUCAUGGACAGAUUCUGGGCCUAAAGACAUGAACAUCUGUGGGGGCAUCACUCAGACUUCCACGGGUGACAAGGGCCCCAUGGUGGGAGGAGAGAAGAGGAGGAAACGGGAUAGUGAGGAUUCACCAGGAGACUGGCCCGAGAAAGGAGACACGGAUUGGACAGGCUCAGCCAGUGGAAGACUGUCCUGCCUGGAGGGAAGUGGCUUUUAGGAGUUUUUUCCUGAGCCUGUUGUGUCUCCUUCCCUCUUUUCUCCCCCAAAUCCAACUAGAAAACUAGAAACAUAAUCUGUUGUGUUGACUCCAUAGGUCUUGCUUCCCCUCAACCCAGACACCCACUCGCCCAAGGGUCUUCCAGCUGGCUGAGUUGGAACCUGCAUUUUUUAACCACAAGGAAAAGAAGCCCAGAGCUACCAAGAAUAAUAUUUUAUUGACUUGGAAUGAGUUUUGGAAUCUGUAUUUUUAACAAGCUGCCCAGGUGAUUUUGAUGAUCAGACAGUUUGAGGUGGUUUUUUUUUUUUUUUUUUCCUUUCCUCUUUCUCUUCCCUUCAGUAAACUGUUUUUCAACUUUGUUUUUCAGUGAAAACCAUUUCCUCCUCGUCGUGGCGCAGGUCCAGAGGCUGCGCCCAUCUCUCCCACGUCAACAGUCCUGUGUCCUUGGCGAAGGACUGUUCUCUCACUCAGUGCCUUUCCUCUCUUCCUGGGCCAAAUCCCUGCUUUGCGUCUCCCUGCAGCUCAUAAAAAGCUGAAUUACCUGAGGCAGGGAAAGCCCCACCCACUGUCAUUCUCAGGGAGGAGUGGAGUCUGCAGAGGCCGCAAUGCACAGCUUCCCUUUCCCCCUCCACCCAUGUUUUCCCAGAGCAGCUCUGUUCCAGGCCCGGGGGUGUCCCUGGGCCAACGUGGAAUCCAGCCCUGACCACCUCCCAAAGCCAACAGCCCUGAGUGAGCGCGCAGAGAAGCAAGAGCUGUUCCUGAUGCAGAGCAAAGACAUCUCCCUGUCAAGGGGGAUGAACUGAUUUGGGACAAAAGGCAGUUGUUGGCUGAGGAAGGCAGGAUCUGGGGGAGCCCUGUGCUGAGUGGAGGUGGGUGGGUGUAUUUCCUUGGCUCACAGAGGCCUCUUGUCUGGUGGGAUCAGCUCCUCCAGCCAGUUGCCACCUGGUCCAGCUUUGGGAGAUGUGGAGAAUGACUUUCACAGUGAUUUCCACUGGGCCAUGGCACUGAAACAGCUGCAGGAGGGGACACAGCUGGUGCCACCCCUACUCCGUCCAUUAGAGCUGCUGUGAAGGAAUGCCACCCUCCCCAUGGGGAGUGAGGGGGCCCUACUUGCUGUGGUUGGUUCCAGGGACCAUGGGAAGAGGCGAACCCCUAUUUUCAAGGGCACAAGUCGGCUUUUAUUAAAAUAAAGUUUCAUCAUCACUUAUUCCAGUGGCUCCCAGACUUGGCUAAACAUCAGGAUCACCCAGGAUGUUUGUUAAAAAAUAAAGAUUAUGGCCGGGUGCAGUGGCUCACGCCUGUAAUCCUAGCACUUUGGGAGGCCCAGGCGGGCAGAUCACUUGAGGUCAGGAAUUCGAGGCCAGCCUGGCCAAUAUGGCGAAAUGCUGUCUCUACUAAAAAUACAAAAAUUAGCUGGGUGUGGUGGUGCAUACCUGUAACCCCAGCUACUCGGAGGCAGAGGCAGGAGAAUUGCUUGAACUUGGGAGGCAAAGGUGGCAGUGAGUCGAGAUAGCGCCACUGCACUGCACUCCAGCCUGGGUGACAGUGCGAGACUCUUGUCUCAAAAAAAAAAAAAAAAAAAGAUUAAUAAAAAUAAAGAGUUUUAGAACUCAUCCUAGACGGAAUCAAUCAGAAUCUCUUUGGGUAGGCUUGGGCUGGAAUCAGUGCGAAAUCUGUCUAAUCAGAUUGCUUUCCUGAUUCCAGACGGUUGAGCCCAUAGAGCAGGAGUGAGAAGAUGGAAGGGCGAGGGGGCUGGGAAUGAUGAAAACUUGCGCUUGCAGCCACCAUUCAUUAGAGAGCGCCGGGGGCCAGCUGCAGAACUGUAGACUCCUCAUACAUCACCGUGUUGAGUCUUCAAAGCAAACCUAUGAGGUGUGCCCAAUUGUUUCCAUUUUGCUGGUGAGAAAAUGGGAGCUCAAAGUGGCCACACACACAGCUAAUAAGAGGCAGAGCCAGGACUCAGGCCCAGAUCUUUCUCUUGACUCCUCUGCCGUGGAAGGGAUCAUGAGAAAACCUGGCCCCAGCUCCGGAGUCAGGCCAGCACAUGACCCAACUGUCAUGCCAGCACAAGCUGCCUUCUGGACACUUCUCUGGUGGGCUCUCUCUGUCUCGGGGCUUCAGCUGCCCCCUGCUCACUCCCCUCACAUCAGUCACUGUGUAGCUGGGGACACAGAGGUGGCUGAGACAUGGCCAUCAUCAAGGCAGGGGGUUCAUGGAAAGGGCAUGAGCUACAACCAGGACAGAGGGCUUCUGGUUCCAGUGUCACCACCCAGAGCUCUGAAAGGGGCCCCAGCACCCUUUUAGAUGGACUAGAUUGGGUGGUCUCUGGGGGUCCAUCCACUCUUAAAAAGCAGAGUCUGAUCACCUGACUGCCCUGGCACCCCCCCGCCACUCCAGCACGUGGCCCUUGCUGACACAUCUGCCCUGCAAGGCUGAUGAGCUGUGGCUUCUUGCCUCUUUGGCUCCUUCCAGCACCCAGGAGUUUCUGGUACAUAGUAGGCGUUCAGUGGGGUGACCCUUCAUGGAUAAUCAGCAAUUAUGUAUUAGGCACUAUUGAUAACUGCAGACACUGGACUAAAAUACUAGGAAUUCAGAGAGGGCCCUACCUCUAUGGAGUUUAUAGCCUCGUAGGGGAGAAAGAUAGAAAACACCAUGAAUCGAUUACAAUUGUGGUCAGUGCUAGGAAGAAAAAUAAUAGGAUAGUUUAAGAAUGGGACUGGGGGGAGUUCUAAUUUAGACAGAGGCAUUAGAAACAUUUAACCUGAGACCCGAAGGAUGAAUAAGAGCCAUAUGGAAACUGGAGGUAAGGUGGGAGUGGGGACAGUGUUUUGGGCGAAGGGAGCAGGAGUUGCAAAGGCCCUGAGGUGGGGAGGAUGGACACCAGGGAACCCAAUGAGGGCCAGUGUGGCUGCAGGGAGUGAGCUGGCAGGAGGGGCUCAGGAGCAGCAACUGAUAUUGAAGAUGGCCAAGGUCAGACCAUCAGGGUCUUGUGUUUUUUUGUUUUGUUUUUUUUUUUUCUGUCGCCCAGGCUGGAGUGCAGCGGCGCGAUCUCGGCUCACUGCAACUUCCACCUCCUGGGUUCAAGCAAUUCUCCCGCCUCAGCCUCCCGAGUAGCUGGGAUUACAAGCACCCGCCACCAUGCCCGGCUAAUUUUUAUAUUUUUAGUAGAGGCGGGAUUUCUCCACGUAGCCCAGGCCGGUCUCGAACUCCUGACCUCAAGUGAUCCACCCACCUCAGCCUCCCAAAGUGCUGGGAUUACAGGUGUGAGCCACCAUGCCCCACCAGCCAUCAGAGUUUUAUAGCAAGAAUUUUUACCUUUGUCCUUAGUGCAAUGGGAAAUCCUUGAAACGCUAUUAUUGCCUUCCUCUGCAAGGAAAGGUUAUUUUGGUGAGCAGUGGAUAGAGGAAAUGCAGAGGGAGCCACUAAAGGGUUCUGGUGAGAUCUGGAGCCCUGCUGGGAUAAUCUGACCAGAGAAAGCAAAGAUUCCAGAGAGCUAGGCACACUUGCCCUACCUCCAGCUGCACACAGCUGGUUCCAGCUUUGUCCUGACCUUCAGUCUGGCAUACAGGGUAGACCCACUGGUACCUGGUACCUCACUCUGGGGGUGAGGUGGCCACCCACCUAGGUCUGGGCCCUGUAGCAGUUUGGCAGCAACAUCUGGGUGAUAAGAGAAGGCGAUCUGACCUACUCCCAGGGACAAGAAGCUUUGACUCUUCAAGAUCAUAAAGGCUUCCCUCCUGUCCUUGGGUCCUCCUGUUGCCGGAGAGGUGAGGUGGGGUGAGGGUCCUCCGGGAGGGCAGGCUUAGCAGAGCCCAGCACCAUCUCAGCAGACACUGCUCUUCUCCUACUCUCAGCACCUCCAAGGCAGUGAGUGGCUUUCUCUUAUCUAGAGGACAAAAUCCGUUCCUCACCUGGACACAGUGAACCUGUCUGUGGGAUUCAGGGAGCAUCAAGGAGGGAAUUUAGUUUCCGCAGACUUCAGGGAAGACUUUCUGGAGGAGGUGAUGCCUGAGAGCUAUCCAGGAGAGAAGAGUGAAAAAAUGUUAAGCAGUGGAAAAACAUGAACCAAACUGUGGCUGCAUCUUGCCUUAGGUAUGUGUAGGUAGACUCAGCAUUUUGCUGUUUCUGGGCAUAAAGCACAGUACCAUCUGCCCUAGGAAGCCCUUCUGCCAUAGUAAACAGCCCCACAUGGCUUCCAAAGGGCUCUUGGGCACUUCAGGGACCAGUGCCCAGCACACUGCUGGGGAGGCCAGGCUGUGCCUGGGUGGCCUGAGCUCUGGGAGUUUAAGCCAACGUGGAUUAUUGUUAGGAGUGAGUUUCAUAGCCCUGCCUCUCCCAUUCAGAGAUCUCCACUCCCUACCCAGCAGCCUUGAGUAGGGUCUAGGAUUCUUCUCCCCACAUCACAGGUGGGCAGAGGAGGACUCUGCCUUAGGGAAGGUUGAAAUUAAGAUCCUAAACUAAGUUGGGCUGGGGUUAAUUCUUCACAGAUGGAGGAUCUCCUUCAGCACGGGCUGAGGGCUGAGGGCCCCAGAUCAGGGCAUCAGACUCCCGGGGCUGCUUGCAGGGUAGAGAGGACCUCCAUUCUGAUGAGUCCCAGGACUCAGCACUGAGUAGAGAGGGGAGGGGCCGUGCCCAUUUGACCAGACGUCCGAUAAGGCAAGAGACUCUUGUUUUAGCAUCAGAGCUGGAAGAGGCCCAGGGAGACUGUCCCUUGAAGCUUGAGGCCCUGAGAGGGACACUGGCUAUGGAAGGUUGAACAAUGGUCCCCAAACAUGUUCACAUCCUUAUCCCAAGAGCCUGUGAGUAUGUUCUCUUAACAGGGCAACAGGGACUUAGCGCGUGCAAUCAAGGAUCUCCAGAUGGGGAUAACCCAGGUGUGCCCAACCUAAUCUCAGUGUCCUUGGAAGAGGGAUGCAGAAGGAGUCAGAAUCAGAGAAGAAGGUCACACGAUGAAGGAAUCUGAAAUUAGAGUGAUGCUCUUUGAAGAUGGAGGAAGGGACCACAAGCUGAGAAACAGAGGUGGCCACUAGACACUGAAAAAGGCAAGGAAGUGGAUUCUCCCCUGGAGCCUCCAGAAGGAACCAGCUCUGCCGACACCUUGACAUUAGCCCAUUGAGACUGAUUUAAGGGCUGCUGGCCUCCAGAAUUGUAAGAGAAUAAACGUGUGUUGUUUAAGGGCCUUGGUUAGUAGCGAUUUGCUACAGCAGCUGCAGAAACCUAAUAAGUACAGGUUCCGGCUAGAGACGCAGAACUAGCCAGCGGCCGAUCCUGCUCCGGGACCCAGCAGGCCCCAGCUCUAUGGAAUCCUGUCGCACACGGGAUGGACGUGGGCUAGAGGCGGAGGAAGGGGAGGAAGUGAAGAUCUUCAGACUAAGAUGGAUGAAGCUGAAUUCAGAUCUCAGCUCCAAGGUGAAUGAGCAAACAGCACAGAAAAAGAAAAAGCAGUAUAUGUGGAAGAAAGCAAGAAAAAUCAACUGGCCUGGAACCUAAGACUUGUCCAAAGAUGUCACAGAGAGUAAAAUGAGAAAAAUCCAGUAGCCCGUGCCCAGAGCAGUUCCUCGUACCCAGCAGAAGGCUAACAAGCCCUGAGAUGAACGAUGCUCUUCCCAAGGAAGGCAGAGGAGGCGACAGUCCAUUUGCGUUCUCUCCUCUGCAAGUACAGGAUCUCAUUUGAUUCUCAAAACCACCCUAGAGGAGAUAGGAGGCACCUGAGGCCCAGAGAUGUGAAGCCACCUGUCCAAGGCCAUACAGCAGGCUGGUCCCAUGACAGCCACAUGCAGGGCCCACCUGCCCUGCCAACACCGUGCUCAGGGCAAACACAGCUCUAGGGACACUCUCCUUGGAUGCAUCCUACUUAACAGUCCCCCGAACACACCCACAUGGACUCCAGCCUCAGAUUCCCAAAUGUCCUGCCCCAACCCACUUGCAGGGCCAGGUCAGUCCCCACUAGAGGGUGGGAGGGGAGGUGGUAGUGGGGAGGAGGGAAGGGGAGAGGCUGGGUAAAGGGCUGGAAUUGAAUAGCUGCUUUCUUCUCAGAGGCUUCCCCCACCUCCAAGUGGUCACUGAUUAACCCUCUAGACCAGAUAAACCCUCCAUGGGAGGAAAAAAAUGUGUGUUUAUCCUGGGUCAUAAAACAUCAAUAUUGACUUCCCACAGGUAAAGCCCCAGGGGAAGAGGAGGUGGGGGCUGUGGGAGCAAGCCAGCCUGGGACACUCUUGCCUGACACCCAGAGGCCAGCACACACAUUCUCCUUCCCUAUCGAGAAGAAGCCAGAUUCCCACCCCGCCUCCACCUCAAAGGCAUGCCCUGAGCCAGAGGCCUGGUCUCGCUGGGCCUCUUCUCUGCAACCCGCAGCUGCAUGGAGCCCCUUCCCCUUCCUGCAUUGCCCCUCUGCCCUGCUCCCUGCAGAUAACAGAGUUAUACCGGACCCAGGUCAGGAAUCAGACUGCCCCUGCUCUGCUGUUUCCCAGCUCCAGGACUUGGACAAGUGGCCCGAUUUAUGCCUCAGUUUCCUCGUUUAUGAAAUGGCCAUAGUAAUAGCACCCUGCUCUCAUCACUGUUUAGGAUGAUCAAACAAGAUCACGUACGCAUAUAACAAGCACUAGAGCUGGUCCUGCUGUAAACAGCAUCACUCACUCUCUCUCCUCUCCUCCUGCCUCUUGAUACACAGCCCUUUGAGGACCUUCCUCCUUGCUCUUGGCUGAGGCCUCCCUGAUGGGGUGGACAAGACCAUAUUCACACAGGGCCAGAAACCAGAGGUGGUCAUGGUCCCGCCAGGACUGGGGGAUCUCUCAUCCCUCUUCCCUCUGGCCUAGAAUGAAUCAGCUCUCCUAACACCCUCUUGGGCUGGCAUUUUCCAUCAGAGGGCCUGAGGAGGGUGUCUGUGGCCAUGUGCUGCUCCGGGUGGGGACUCCGUGUCUAAGCAUGCAGCUCCACACAGCUCAGGGACCCUCACACCUUCAUUCUGGGGUCUUCUCUCUGUCCUCCAUCUCCUUCCUUUUUGGGGUAAAGGUGUUUCUCCCCCUCCUCCCUGUCCUUCUGAGGGUAAGAAUGAGGAUGUUCUCCAUGCAGAAUCUCCAGCCACCCUGGCCUGGGCACUUUCUACCACAUUUGAUCCUGGACUUGGGGAGCAGUGGGGGAGGCAUUUGGGGCUCCUUGAUCCUUACUCAA